rnacentral:rRNA from 1 species
GCGAACGCUGGCGGCAGGCCUAACACAUGCAAGUCGAACGAACCUUUCGGGGUUAGUGGCGGACGGGUGAGUAACACGUGGGAACGUGCCUUUAGGUUCGGAAUAACUCAGGGAAACUUGUGCUAAUACCGAAUGUGCCCUUCGGGGGAAAGAUUUAUCGCCUUUAGAGCGGCCCGCGUCUGAUUAGCUAGUUGGUUGAGGUAAUGGCUCACCAAGGCGACGAUCAGUAGCUGGUCUGAGAGGAUGAUCAGCCACAUUGGGACUGAGACACGGCCCAAACUCCUACGGGAAGCAGCAGUGGGGAAUCUUGCGCAAUGGGCGAAAGCCUGACGCAGCCAUGCCGCGUGAAUGAUGAAGGUCUUAGGAUUGUAAAAUUCUUUCACCGGGGACGAUAAUGACGGUACCCGGAGAAGAAGCCCCGGCUAACUUCGUG